rnacentral:rRNA from 1 species
UACGAAGGGGGCUAGCGUUGCUCGGAAUCACUGGGCGUAAAGGGUGCGUAGGCGGGUCUUUUAAGUCAGGGGUGAAAUCCUGGAGCUCAACUCCAGAACUGCCUUUGAUACUGAAGAUCUUGAGUUCGGGAGAGGUGAGUGGAACUGCGAGUGUAGAGGUGAAAAUUCGUAGAUAUUCGCAAGAACACCAGUGGCGAAGGCGGCUCACUGGCCGUACUGA